GUCCAUUGUCUAAUGGAUAGGACAAAGGUCUUCUAAACCUUUGGUAUAGGUUCAAAUCCUGCAAUACA
rnacentral:tRNA from 1 species